rnacentral:rRNA from 1 species
UACGGAGGGUCCAAGCGUUAUCCGGAAUCAUUGGGUUUAAAGGGUCCGUAGGCGGUUUUGGAAGUCAGUGGUGAAAGCCCAUCGCUCAACGGUGGAACGGCCAUUGAUACUGCAAGACUUGAAUUAUUGGGAAGUAACUAGAAUAUGUAGUGUAGCGGUGAAAUGCUUAGAGAUUACAUGGAAUACCAAUUGCGAAGGCAGGUUACUACCAAUAUAUUGACGCUGAUGGACGAAAGCGUGGGGAGCGAACAGG